CUUUCGGCUCCACCUGCUUAAAGCACCUUCAGAGGUUCCCAUGGUGACAGUAAACAGGUCUCCACUGCCUUGGCCAUCUGCUGUGUUCACCCCACUUCUGAUCUUGUUGGCCGCUCAGGGACUGACAGCCCAGAUGUGCAGCUAUGAUGAGCAGAAACAGGGAGGACUGGAGCCCCCAGCCAUUCUCAUCACUUCCCUGAUCUGUCUAAAUUCUGCCCAGCAGUCCAUGAAAAUGGUGUGCUGAUGACAUAUGUAAGGACUCUAACUCCCCUCAAGCAAUCUGCUCACCUCAAAAGAAUGUCUAGAAACCUCCUAAGGGAAGCAAGCAUAGGCCACUUGGAAGAAGUUUCAAGAAGGAGAGCUGACACCAACUUUGUACACUGGCAGUACAAGGGGCCCUCAGUAAGUGUUACCCUUCCUUUGAGUCAGACAGCUUCAAGCUUGGUGAUCUCUGUCGACCUCAACCUCAAGGCUUUGUCUAGAGGGUCAAAUGAGAAAAACAACAACCAGCUGGUGCAUUUUUCAGGAGUCAUGCAAGUGCUGUUGUCUUCCCUCUCUUUAGGCUUUGAUGAUUUAGUCGUUACAUUUACUGUAACACUUAUCAUGAUCUGUUGUUUUUUCAAGUUAUUUAGGCUGAUGCUUCUAAAGCUAACUGUAUUAAGGACCAUUUAAAAAAUUUCCAGUGCUUUUCAAGUAAAUACUUUUGUA
rnacentral:lncRNA from 1 species